rnacentral:tRNA from 1 species
GCCUGGGUGGCUCAGCCGGUUAAGUACCGGACUUCAGUUCAGGUCAUGAUCUCACAGUUCGUGGGUUUGAGUCCCAUCUUGGGCU